UGGCCACCCCUCAUAGCCUGGUUCCUCUCUAGGUUUCUUCCUAGGUUUUUGGCCUUUCUAGGGAGUUUUUCCUAGGGAGUUUUUCCUAGCCACCGUGCUUCUUUCACAUGCUUUGCUUGCUGUUUGGGGUUUUAGGCUGGGUUUCUGUACAGCACUUUGAGAUAUCAGCUGAUGUACGAAGGGCUAUAUAAAAAUAAAUUUGAUUGAUUAAUAUAGAAUACCUAGUAUGCUCACAACUGCAUUGUGGUAUAGAUAUUGCUAGCUCUUGUACAUAUGUUUCAUACAUAUGUUUAACAAGUCAGACGCGAAGGAUUUACUUCAGACGGGAUUUACCCUCAUCCACAUAAUCUGCCUUUACCAUCGGUCCUAUUAGCCAACGUUCAAUCAUUGGAUAAUAAAAUAGACAAACUAUGAUCACGUAUAUCCUACCAACGGGAUAUAAAAAAAUGUAAUAUCUUAUGUUUAACUGAGUCGUGGCUGAACGACGACAUGAAUAACAUGCAGCUGGCGGGUUUUAAGCUGUAUCGGCAGGAUAGGACAGCGGCGAUCUAUGUAUAUUUGUAAACAACAGCUGGUGCAUGAAAUCUAAUGAAGGAUAUGGCUUGUGGUGAGAUAUUGUGUAGCUAAAGGUAAUGUGUCAGCCUAUUAAUUAGGAAAAUAUAAAAAAUUGCCUAUUACUAGGCUAUUCAAAAUAAUGGACUAUAAUUGUAGAAUAACUCUGUUAGCUGCUCUGCACAAUCAAUGAACCAACAGCGUUGCCUAGACCAGUGGUUCCCAAACUGUGGACAUGCCCCCUAGGGGGGCUGCGACGGGUCAGCAAGGGCGGCACGGGGGUCCCCCACCUCCCAAAUGAAAAAAAUAAAUAAUAAUGGAACACAGUCCGGCUUUAAACUUUCUGUUGAAAGUUGUAAUAGUAGAAUGCACAAGGUGCAAAUUCGAAAUCGGGUAGCGCAUCAUCAGUUCCUCUUGUCAUUACAGUCAUUGCAUACCUUAGAGAGCUAUUUAUAACUUCAGAAAUCAACUAGCCCAUGUCAGCUAAUGUUUUCUUAUCUAGGUUUUUUAGCCCAUAGAUAUUGUUGUAAUUUUUUUGUCACUCAUUUAUGUUUAUUUAUUUUUUGUAUUUUACCCCCCUCUUUGUCCCCAAUUUUGAUCUUGUCUCCUUGCUGCAACUCCCCAACGGGCUCGGGAGGCGAAGUUCGAGUAAUGCGUCCCCCGAAACCACGCUUCUUAGCACCCGCCUGCUUCCCCUGAACCACGCUUUUUUGCACACGCCUGCUUAAUCAAGAAGCCAGCCGCACCAAUGUUUUGGAGGAAACGCCAUUCAACUGACGACCGAAGUCUGCCUGCAGGCACCCGGCCAGCCACAAAGAGUCACUAGAGCGCAAUGAGCCAAGCACAAAUUUUUUUGUCACUCAAAAUACACAACAAACAUUAGACAUGGCAAAAUGUAUAGUAUUGCAAGAAAAUUUGCUUUUAAACUGCAAAAUGUGCUUUGCACCACAUGACAAAUUGUGUAUAAUUGCUUGAAAUAAAAUUGCAAAAUUCUCU
rnacentral:lncRNA from 1 species